rnacentral:rRNA from 1 species
UACGGAGGGUGCAAGCGUUAUCCGGAUUCACUGGGUUUAAAGGGUGUGUAGGCGGGCUGUUAAGUCAGUGGUGAAAUCUCCGGGCUCAACCCGGAAACUGCCAUUGAUACUAUCAGUCUUGAAUUCUGUUGAGGUGGGCGGAAUAUGUCAUGUGGCGGUGAAAUGCAUAGAUAUGACAUAGAACACCAAUUGCGAAGGCAGCUCACUAAGCAGCGAUUGACGCUGAGGCACGAAAGCGUGGGGAUCAAACAGG